UUUAUCUUUUUUAUUUCUUUCCUUGUUUACAAGAAAAUAGAUGACUCGAGUGUUACAAACAAUAGUUUUUAAGGAAUAAUGUGAAAUAAUGUUUAUAGGAUAAAAAACUUAAAAACAUUACCAGACACUAACUUAGGUAAUUCACCAACAAGAAGAUGAUCCUGGAGCAAAGGCUGUAAUUUGACCUGAGCCCAAAUCGGUCUCUAGUUUAAAUACAUUAUUGUCUUGAACCAAUAAGUUAAGAGGACUAACCUUUCUGGACAACAUUGCCAUCGACAUCACUGCAGAUGAGAGAUAUAGAGAGACCAGAGUUGUGUACCCUGGAGGCUAUUACCUUACUGCCGUGAUAACUAAGUUAUUCAAAGUUCAAAUCGGUACUUUGAGCUGUAGCCUACCAGUAGAAUGGGGGCGUUGUAAUUAAUAUCCUCCGACAUUGGAGGAUACAGGGGAGAGUUGCCAGAGGAAGAGGAGAUGGAGGAUGGGGCGAAGUAAAGACGAAGAUUGAAGAGAACUAACUUAUGGCCUGAUGACAGGGUGGAUGGCGAUGGAGGCAUGGAGGUUGGGGGAGAGGAGGCUGAAGAAGUGGAGACAAAUCAGUUUAGAUUCAUUAUGUUGAUUAGUUUAAUAUUUUUCACCACACUUUGAUGUUUUUGGCUGUAUUACAUACGUUAAUUGGUGGCUGAAAGUAACGUUUUGCUGGCCAUGCCAGCUGUCAUCGUAAUUUUGGGGACCGAGCAGGUUUUUACAGGCCGGGGCCGCAAAAUCAGCUGUCCGCUUACUUACUUAAAACAUGAAUGCAUUUUAAAUACCCAUAGCAUUGCAGUAGAAUUGUGUUAUUGUCCCCGUUGCCUAACAACUAUUUAUUUUUAUUUUUGCUGAUUCUUCAAAUUAUUUCUUCACAUAACCUUAAAGUUGUUGUUGUGUUGACAAUCAGUGUGCAUUAUUAUAGUGUUGAAUAGUGGUAAUAGGGUAUAGUGUGGUGAAAAAUAGCGUUCGUACCACGGACCGAAAUGGUUUUGCAGCUCUCGAUCGAUUUAAGUUCUCGACUUCGUCUCGAACUUAAAAACUAUCUCGAGCCGGCAAAACCUCAUUUUCGGCCCUAGGUACGAAAUAUACUAUAUUUUGUACAUCAGUAUAGGCCUACUUUUAUUUACAUUU